UACAGAGGGUGCAAGCGUUAAUCGGAAUUACUGGGCGUAAAGCGAGCGUAGUCGGUUAUUUAAGUCGGGUGUGAAAGCCCCGGGCUCAACCUGGGAAUUGCAUUCGAUACUGGAUAGCUAGAGUUCGGCAGAGGGAAGCGGAAUUUCCGGUGUAGCGGUGAAAUGCGUAGAUAUCGGAAGGAACAUCAGUGGCGAAAGCGGCUUCCUGGACCAGAACUGACGAGCAGGCUCGAAAGCGUGGGGAGCAAACAGG
rnacentral:rRNA from 1 species